CCCAACUAAUGACCCGGUCCAAAAAGGAAAUAAACAUAAAGUGAGUAGGGUUUCUAUUUUGAGCUAAAAUCAGCUCCAUCUCCACUGCCAUUCCGCCUAUUUCACCAUGGUUGCCUUCGAACAUCUUCAAUUCGUGCUUCUCCAAUUGUGGGUGACAAACACCGUCCCUUGAUUGGUUUAAAGUGAAUCCUUUUCCAGCUUGCAAGAGUAAGAAUCUUCUAUCCUUUUGGUGACUUAAGCUAACACUUGUUCUAUAACCUCUGCUUGAUGAUGUUUGAGUUCUCCGGUGUAAGGGUCCUCAUAUUGAUUUUUUGUGCUAACAACUUGGGUCUAGUCCUCUGGGAUCUGGUGUUUAAUCCCGAUAAGAAACCUCUACUAUAGUGUUUAAGCUUGCUGACAGACCUUACCAAUACCCGUUGUCUUGUUGUUUUGCAGUUAUGAAAGGGAUAGAGAUUGUGAGAUGCUCGUACCCACUUGUAAUUGGAUGGUACCAAGAUCCUCAGCCACAUGCACUGAAGAUCUGACCUUGUGACCUCUCAAUCUACUGAGAGUCCAUUUUUGUUGGCUGGUGUAAUUAAGCUAAGUUGCAAUUUCACCUUUUGUGUAGCUUGUCAGGUUGUAAAUACGUCAUGUGAAACAACUUGCUUUAGCCUUUUCAGUCUUUCUAGCUCUUUGAAACUGCUAGCCUCAAAUAACAACUUUGCUAUUUAUCACUGUUUAAAAUCUUUUCGCCUGCACUUGUUAACUGAUGGAAGAAUGUGUAUGUGAACUCCUUGUGUUCCAAUGCUAUGUUGGCCAGAUAAUCUACUAAUUAAUUGCCUUCUCUGUAUAUAUGCUGAAUCUACACUUGCUUAUUUGAAACAAAGGAGCAUAUCAAAUGCCUAGCAUUUGGCCGUGAUUUCAUGUUCAAAAUAUAUACAAUGUUUAAAUCUUCAAAAUAAUUCAUCAAACUCCAUAUAUAUCCUCAGA
rnacentral:lncRNA from 1 species